GGAAUUUACAAUCCCCCCUCACAGGAGACGCAGCUGGUAACGUAGAGCUAUACCUUGCUCUGUACCACUUCAUCUCGUGGUACUGACUGAGCUCGCCUUUCCUCCUUCAGUCUCUCUCUCUUCUUCCUCAGGCUUCUUCCACGGUUAAAGCGUGAGACCUGAAGACAGACCACACUGUUACUCAGUGAUGUCAUGCUCUUUCUUACCACAGAAGCCAAGUAAUAGAGUAAUACCCUUUUCACCUCUGUCUGAAAGGCAAUGGAUAAAGGAGAAUGUGUUGCCAGAUGAACACUGAUGGGCCAAGCACCAUGGGUGCCAAUAGCUGUGAAAACACACCACCACUAAGGCAAGUCUGUAAGGACACUUUGCAAUUCCCUGGAGAGGUAAGCACCUCCUGUGUCCUCCAGCUGGUUGCCAAGCCAAGCCCAGCCCUUUUCACUCAGAGGUAACAAAGAGGAGCAGGGCAGCAACCGCACUUUGUCUCAUACCAGAAUAGAGAGCCCUACCAUGUGCCUUCUGACCCGAAGAGCAUUGCAGCGUUUCACAUGCAGCAGCACAGUACAAACAGGACAUUUUGUCCCCAUUUCUAAGCAUCUUCCAGUGCAACGAGGAUGAGAGAUGCCUGAAGCAGGCAGCAGAGCAACACAACCCAGGAACUUUAGGGUACAGGGUAGCUUUCUAACCCCUGGGCCACAAUGGCAAACAAGUGCCUCUGGCUGCUCCAUCCUCUGCCAGUCAGGCCAGUGGGAUCUCUGACAGCGCUUAAUGCUGUGGAGGCUUAAUCUGCACACCUUGCUGGGCUUGGGGGCUGAAAAGCUCCACAUCAACAUACCCGAGGCCAGCACACAGUGCCAGCAGAAACACAGGCACCUUUCACAGCAGAAGAGGAUGUGACUUCUCAAGGUUAACUGGACUCGGCUCCAAGUGUAUGUGUGUACUGGGGAAGAUCUGUAACGUACCUGUGAUGAUUUAGUGAGGAGGAGUGCAACCUCAGGGUUAUUGUGCUGUCUGGCAACCUCUAGAGGGGUCUGACCUGCCUGAGAGGAAAAAGAAAAUGGCAUUUCCUUCCAAACAGAAGCCCCUGGAAAUGUGGGAUUUCUCCACCCAAACGCUACAAAGAGCAUUGAAGGGAGUCUGCAUUAAUAUAAGUUACCAACAAAACUCUGUGCUGCUUACAUUGUUGACAACAGAUGUGUCAGCCCCUGCCUCCAGCAACAGCUUAACCACCUUCCUGUGAUUGAGAGCAGCAGCUACAUGGAGCGCAGUAUCCCCUGCCUGCAAGUCAGAAAGCAAAGAACAACGGUGUAACACGCGUCCUUGGGUCUCACCCUGCAGAAAUCACACCUCCCUAAAAGAGGCUCAGAGUUCAAGAGACCUGCACUCAUUGAGCUUAAAUAAGGCCUGUUCAGUAAGAAAAAUAGAAUUAGGAGGAAGGGGACAGGAGGGGGCAGAAACUACUUCAGGGCAAGGACCUGCUUCAGCCUGGUUUUGAGAAACGCAGCCGGGGUGCUGGUGAUCUGGUUUAACUGAAACAAGUGAUACACAAUGCAGCCGGGAGGCAGCCCAGCUCUACCACCAGCAAAUGGAUAAGACAUCAGAGGGCAGAACCGGUUUUCCUACCACAUCCUUCUCUUUUUUCUGGGUUUGAUUAUUUGGUGCACAGACGGUCAACUCUCACGUUACUCAAAACCAGCCAGGUAGGUACAAGCAGCGUGGUGGCUGGUAUUCCCUUCAGGAGAUUCCUCAAGAAAAACAGGGUUUGGAUGAAAGCCAGGAGCGAUCCAGGUCCUGCAUAACACACUGCCCUGCCCUUGUCCCAGCACAGACAGGUGAAGACAGGUGUGAUCAGAUUCGGGUACCACUAACACAGUUAGCAGCUGUUCAAAGGAGACGGGACAUGUGGAUGUAAUGCCUUCCUGUCUCCUCUGCCUUGCAUUCUGCCUUCAGAAAAUUACAUCUUCUUGAGACUAGUGGAUGUCUGCUGCUUGUCGCUAACCUGGCUGAGGUGUACUCAUAAAAUCAUUAUAUGUGCAAAUAUGGAACAACUUUGGGUAGUGCUGGGGAAUGGAGGGAAGGGGUGUCUCUCUGGGCCAGGUUCACACCGGUUAAUCUUAAUAUUCAGUAGCUCAUUUUGCAAGUUUAAAGACUCAUUUCCAAAUAAAAUUACACAGUAAAUUCAA